GACGUAGGGCGCGAGCGUUGUCCGGAUUUAUUGGGCGUAAAGAGCUCGUAGGCGGCUUGUUGCGUCAGCUGUGAAAACCCGCAGCUCAACUGUGGGCUUGCAGCUGAUACGGGCAGGCUUGAGUUCGGUAGGGGAGACUGGAAUUCCUGGUGUAGCGGUGAAAUGCGCAGAUAUCGGGAGGAACACCAGUGGCGAAGGCGAGUCUCUGGGAUGAUGCUGACGCUGAGGCGCGAAAGCCAGGGGAGCAAACGGG
rnacentral:rRNA from 1 species